rnacentral:rRNA from 1 species
UGCAGUCGAGCGGUAACAGAUCCAGCUUGCUGGAUGCUGACGAGCGGCGGACGGGUGAGUAAUGCAUAGGAAUCUGCCCGGUAGUGGGGGAUAACCUGGGGAAACCCAGGCUAAUACCGCAUACGUCCUACGGGAGAAAGGGGGCUUCGGCUCCCGCUAUCGGAUGAGCCUAUGUCGGAUUAGCUAGUUGGUGAGGUAACGGCUCACCAAGGCCACGAUCCGUAGCUGGUCUGAGAGGAUGAUCAGCCACAUCGGGACUGAGACACGGCCCGAACUCCUACGGGAGGCAGCAGUGGGGAAUAUUGGACAAUGGGGGGAACCCUGAUCCAGCCAUGCCGCGUGUGUGAAGAAGGCCCUCGGGUUGUAAAGCACUUUCAGCGAGGAAGAACGCCUAGCGGUUAAUACCCGCUAGGAAAGACAUCACUCGCAGAAGAAGCACCGGCUAACUCCGUGCCAGCAGCCGCGGUAAUACGGAGGGUGCAAGCGUUAAUCGGAAUUACUGGGCGUAAAGCGCGCGUAGGUGGCUUGAUAAGCCGGUUGUGAAAGCCCCGGGCUCAACCUGGGAACGGCAUCCGGAACUGUCAAGCUAGAGUGCAGGAGAGGAAGGUAGAAUUCCCGGUGUAGCGGUGAAAUGCGUAGAGAUCGGGAGGAAUACCAGUGGCGAAGGCGGCCUUCUGGACUGACACUGACACUGAGGUGCGAAAGCGUGGGUAGCAAACAGGAUUAGAUACCCUGGUAGUCCACGCCGUAAACGAUGUCGACCAGCCGUUGGGUGCCUAGCGCACUUUUGUGGCGAAGUUACGCGAUAAGUCGACCGCCUGGGGAGUACGG